rnacentral:rRNA from 1 species
CCUACGGGUGGCUGCAGUGGGGAAUAUUGGGCAAUGGGCGCAAGCCUGACCCAGCAACGCCGCGUGAAGGAAGAAGGCUUUCGGGUUGUACACUUCUUUUCUCAGGGACGAAGAAAGUGACGGUACCUGAGGAAUAAGCCACGGCUAACUACGUGCCAGCCGCCGCGGUAAUACGUAGGCGGCAAGCGUUAUCCGGAUUUACUGGGUGUAAAGGGCGUGUAGGCGGGACUGCAAGUCAGAUGUGAAAACCACGGGCUCAACCUGGGGCCUGCAUGUGAAACUGUAGUUCUUGAGUACUGGAGAGGUAGACGGAAUGCCUAGUGUAGCGGUGAAAUGCGUAGAGAUUAGGAGGAACACCAGUGGCGAAGGCGGGCUGCUGGACAGCAACUGACGCUGAGGCGCGAAAGCGUGGGGAGCAAACAGGAUUAGAUACCCUGGUAGUC